GUCUCAUUGAGAUAUUGAGUGUGAAUUUGACCUAAACCUCCAUGUCAAAGGUUAGAAAUUGUCCCUUUGGCAUUGAACAAUUCCUGAUAGAUAAAAUCCCACAAAUUAUAUUGGCUCUCACAUGUUGUAAACAAUUGCAAAACACAAAGUUUGAAAAUGCCAAAGUCAGAUAAGAUUUGAGAGUUAGUUUGCAUAACUAAAAGUCACCAUCAAAUCUAUUUUCUAAAUGAUUGUUUUGAUCUCAUUGUAAUUUUGUUGCUUGUAAUUUUUCAUCAAAAUGUCAUAACUUCUCUCUGGACUUUUCAAGUAAUUUUUUCCUCAUAAACCCCAUCCUUUUUAUAAUUUACUUCAAGCCUGCAAUCAGAUCUGCCUCCAUCCAAUGGACAGAACCAAAUCGUUCAAGUAUGCUCAAUACAAUAGUAUACAAUAACAAAGAAAUUAUCUGGUGCUGUUUCCAUUACAUCUCAAAUUUAAAUUCUGGUUUGUUCCUCAAACAAAGCUAUCAUAUGUCUUCUGAAGAUUUGGAAUACAUCGCAAGUGUAUGUACCACUUUCAUGAUAGUUUUUUUUUUUUUUUUGAAGAUACGCAUAGAGGCAGUAAUAGAAGAUUGACAACAGAAUUUGUAAAGACAAGUCUAUCCCAGUGAGCAGUACCUGUCAAACGGCAGCAGGAAGACAAGGGUGUGAAAUAUACAAGAGCUCGAGAUGGAGAAUACUGCCGUAAUGGAAACCUGAAAACAGGAUACGGAAGCACUCAGAGAAAAAGAUGACCCAGCUCCCCCUGCACGCCUGAUGCCUAACAAAGCCAAAGACAUUAUGGGAUAUAUGGGCCAGACAAUGUAAAAAAAACUCAGCCUGGUACUCUCUUUCCCAUCACCUGGUGCUGUCUCAGGAGGUAAGAGGUGCUGUUUUUUAGCCCCGUGUGAUGAAUGGCCAUCACUCUCAAUUUCUGCCUGUGCAUCACCUCUCAGUCACUUGGCAUCAGACCAUCAUGCGGCUGGCAACGAAGACACCUGGGGCAGCGAUAGACAGAGAGCUGUGAGCCUAGAGGAGGAUGCUUGGUCAAUAAAUUAAUCUGUCACUUUAUUCUCCUCAUUUCUCUUUUUCAUUUUUACGCCUUCGGGGACGGGAGGAAUGAAUACAUAACGGCAAAAAGGGCAGCUGGUGCGAUCACAGAUUGACACCCCAGAGGAGACCGUUGAUGCCCCAGAGAUCCCCACAGAUGACUCUUGUCCAUUCCAGGUUUUAAGGUCAAAAACAAGGGGGCACUGUAGAUUUGCAUAUAUUCGCAUGUCACUGUUCUAAUCCAUGAGCUAGCCUUGACUUGUGAAGGUGUGAUUAACAUUUACCUAACAUGUUCGACAUCCUUCUUGUUCCUAAAAUGACACUGGGUUGAAUUCAGGGGCCUGAACUAAUUCUAUAAACCUGUGCUUACAAAGACAGGUAUAACUAUUACUAUUGCUCAGUUGAAAUAUUGCCACAUUUCUAAGUUACUUUGGAUAAAAGCAUCCACAAAAGGUCACAAAGUAACAAAAGGUCACCUAAAGUAUUAAAAGUUGGUGUGAAAGGCCCAAAACAAUUUCUACACAAGAAUCUCUGUAUAGAUACUUAAAGCUGAUUUAUACUUCUGUCAAAACUUUGCCGUAGGUUGUGUGUAGUAUGUGCAGGCUGUGGUGUAGCCUGAUGUGCACCUCUCCAAAAAUGUCACAGCGUGUCAAAUCUAUGGUGAUUGGUCUGCUAG